rnacentral:tRNA from 1 species
GGAGACGUGCCUGAGUGGCCGAAAGGAGCCGCCUGCUAAGCGGUUAGGGGGCGUUGAGCUCCCUCCCGGGUUCGAAUCCCGGCGUCUCCG